rnacentral:rRNA from 1 species
CCGGUGAAGUGUUCGGAUUGCGGCGACGUGGGCGGUCCGCUGCCCGCGACGUUGUGAGAAGUCCACUGAACCUUAUCAUUUAGAGGAAGGAGAAGUCGUAACAAGGUUUCCGUAGGUGAACCUGCGGAAGGAUCAUUG